rnacentral:rRNA from 1 species
ACUCCUACGGGAGGCAGCAGUGAGGAAUAUUGGUCAAUGGGCGAGAGCCUGAACCAGCCAAGUAGCGUGCAGGAUGACGGCCCUAUGGGUUGUAAACUGCUUUUAUGUGGGGAUAAAGUGAGCUACGUGUAGUUUAUUGCAGGUACCACAUGAAUAAGGACCGGCUAAUUCCGUGCCAGCAGCCGCGGUAAUACGGAAGGUCCAGGCGUUAUCCGGAUUUAUUGGGUUUAAAGGGAGCGUAGGCUGGAGAUUAAGUGUGUUGUGAAAUGUAGACGCUCAACGUCUGACUUGCAGCGCAUACUGGUUUCCUUGAGUACGCACAACGUUGGCGGAAUUCGUCGUGUAGCGGUGAAAUGCUUAGAUAUGACGAAGAACUCCGAUUGCGAAGGCAGCUGACGGGAGCGCAACUGACGCUUAAGCUCGAAGGUGCGGGUAUCGAACAGGAUUAGAUACCCUGGUAGUCCGCACAGUAAACGAUGGAUGCCCGCUGUUGGUACCUGGUAUCAGCGGCUAAGCGAAAGCAUUAAGCAUCCCACCUGGGGAGUACGCCGGCAACGGUGAAACUCAAAGGAAUUGACGGGGGCCCGCACAAGCGGAGGAACAUGUGGUUUAAUUCGAUGAUACGCGAGGAACCUUACCCGGGCUUGAAUUGCAGAGGAAGGAUUUAGAGAUAAUGACGCCCUUCGGGGUCUCUGUGAAGGUGCUGCAUGGUUGUCGUCAGCUCGUGCCGUGAGGUGUCGGCUUAAGUGCCAUAACGAGCGCAACCCCUGUCUUUAGUUGCCAUCAGGUGAUGCUGGGCACUCUGGAGAUACUGCCACCGUAAGGUGUGAGGAAGGUGGGGAUGACGUCAAAUCAGCACGGCCCUUACGUCCGGGGCUACACACGUGUUACAAUGGGGGGUACAGAAGGCCGCUACCCGGCGACGGGAUGCUAAUCUUUAAAACCUCUCUCAGUUCGGAUCGGAGUCUGCAACCCGACUCCGUGAAGCUGGAUUCGCUAGUAAUCGCGCAUCAGCCAUGGCGCGGUGAAUACGUUCCCGGGCCUUGUACACACCGCCCGUCAAGCCAUGAAAGCCGGGGGUGCCUGAAGUCCGUGACCGCAAGGAUCGGCCUAGGGCAAAACUGGUGAUUGGGGCUAAGUCGUAACAAGGUAGCCGUACCGGAAGGUGCGGCUG